CUGCUUUUUGUUUUUUUCUCGAAGCUGAAGUCAGUAAAACCGAGAGAGGCACACACGUCAGGACCAGCCGUGGCUCUGGGGUCCACCCUCCAGGCAGACCGAGCAUGCGAGUCACACUUGCUAUGACAGUUUGGAUCGUUUCUGUAGUUCCCAGUCACGCAUAUACAGCAAGCAGUUUGCCAGAUACCGAAAAUGAAGAUUUCAUCAAAGACUGUGUUCGGAUUCAUAACAAGUUCCGAUCAGAGGUGAAUCCAACAGCCAGUGCUAUGCUAUACAUGACGUGGGACCCAGCACUAGCCCGAAUUGCAAAAGCAUGGGCAAAAAACUGUCAGUUUGCACACAACGGACAGCUGCAGUCGAACAAGCUGCACCCGAAUUUCACUUUCGUGGGAGAAAAUAUCUGGACUGGGUCUGUAUCCAUAUUCUCUGUGUCUUCAGCCAUUACCAAAUGGCACAGUGAAAUUCAGGACUAUGACUUCGAGACUCAGAAAUGCACCAAGGUCUGUGGCCAUUACACUCAGGUUGUCUGGGCAGACAGUUAUAAAGUUGGCUGUGCUGUACAAUAUUGCCCCACAGUUUAUGGCAUUAACAGCUUAACCAAUGUAGCACAUUUCAUAUGCAACUACGGACCAGGACAAAGCUCUCAAAGGCCAUACAGAAGAGGAUCUACUUGCAGUGCCUGCCCCAGUGAUGACAAAUGUUUGGACAACCUCUGCACUAUUUUCAGGGAAGCUGGAGUCAAGUAGCAAUCAAGCCGAUGGCUUACUGUCCUGGGAAUGAACAUAUAUUCAAGCUAAUCCAAAGCGAGACAAAGUCACAGGUUACUACUCUAUUGUGCAUCCUGACUGGCCAGUAUUUUCACGCAACAGAUACCUAUCUCUCUUUCUCACUGUUAGUCCACCAAUCCUAAUAUUGAGUGCUAUAAUGAUCAUUUGGGUCAAGCACAAAUACCCUCAUUUAGUUCUUUCAAACUAAUAUAAUCCACAAAAAAACCACAA